UCUGCGUUGCCUGCGAUCCACUUGCAACACUUGCGCUGCUGCUGGUGCGGCGCGGCGGCUGCAAUUGCUGCUGCAGUUGCUCACGUUUCAGCAGAGCAGGUUUUUUCUGCUGCUGCUGAUGCUGCUGCUGCUGCUGUGUCUGUU
rnacentral:sRNA from 1 species